rnacentral:rRNA from 1 species
GACGAACGCUGGCGGCGUGCUUAACACAUGCAAGUCGAACGGAAAGGCCCUGCUUUUGUGGGGUGCUCGAGUGGCGAACGGGUGAGUAACACGUGAGUAACCUGCCCUUGACUUUGGGAUAACUUCAGGAAACUGGGGCUAAUACCGGAUAGGAGCUCCUGCUGCAUGGUGGGGGUUGGAAAGUUUCGGCGGUUGGGGAUGGACUCGCGGCUUAUCAGCUUGUUGGUGGGUAGUGGCUUACCAAGGCUUUGACGGGUAGCCGGCCUGAGAGGGUGACCGGCCACAUUGGGACUGAGAUACGGCCCAGACUCCUACGGGAGGCAGCAGUGGGGAAUAUUGCACAAUGGGCGGAAGCCUGAUGCAACAACGCCGCGUGCGGGAUGACGGCCUUCGGGUUGUAACCCGCUUUCGCCUGUGACGAAGCGUGAGUGACGGUAAUGGGUAAAGAAGCACCGGCUAACUACGUG